rnacentral:rRNA from 1 species
CUCCGGACUGGCCCAGAGAGGUGGGCAACUACCACUCAGGGCCGGAAAGUUGUCCAAACUCGGUCAUUUAGAGGAAGUAAAAGUCGUAACAAGGUCUCCGUUGGUGAACCAGCGGAGGGAUCAUUACAGAGUUACUACUCCAAACCCAUUGUGAACCUUACCUAUGUUCUGUUGCCUCGGCGGCGUGGUCAGCGCCCCUCUGAACAGAGGACGACGCCCUCCCGCCGGCAGCACCAAACUCUUUGAAUUUUACAGCGGAUUACAGUUCUGAUUUGAAAACAAAAAACAAGUUAAAACUUUCAACAACGGAUCUCUUGGUUCUGGCAUCGAUGAAGAACGCAGCGAAAUGCGAUAAGUAAUGUGAAUUGCAGAAUUCAGUGAAUCAUCGAAUCUUGAACGCACAUUGCGCCCGGCAGCAAUCUGCCGGGCAUGCCUGUCCGAGCGUCAUUUCAACCCUCGAACCUCCGUUUCCUCAGGGAAGCUCAGGGUCGGUGUUGGGGCGCUACGGCGAGUCUUCGCGACCCUCCGUAGGCCCUGAAAUACAGUGGCGGUCCCGCCGCGGUUGCCUUCUGCGUAGUAAGUCUCUUUUGCAAGCUCGCAUUGGGUCCCGGCGGAGGCCUGCCGUCAAACCACCUAUAACUCCAGAUGGUUUGACCUCGGAUCAGGUAGGGUUACCCGCUGAACUUAAGCAUAUC